UACGGAGGGUGCGAGCGUUGUCCGGAAUCACUGGGCGUAAAGGGCGCGUAGGCGGUUGGGGAAGUCCGUGGUGAAAGCUCGUGGCUCAACUACGAGUCGGCCAUGAUACUCCUUGACUUGAGCACUGUAGAGGCAGAUGGAAUUCCGGGUGUAGCGGUGGAAUGCGUAGAGAUCCGGAAGAACACCGGUGGCGAAGGCGGUCUGCUGGGCAGUAGCUGACGCUGAGGCGCGACAGCGUGGGGGAGCAAACAGG
rnacentral:rRNA from 1 species